GGAAUAUUGGGCAAUGGGCGCAAGCCUGACCCAGCGACGCUGCGUGAGGGAUGAAGGUCUUCGGAUUGUAAACCUCUUUCAGUAGGGAAGAAGCGAAAGUGACGGUACCUAAAGAAGAAGCACCGGCUAACUAUGUGCCAGCAGCCGCGGUAAUACAUAGGGUGCAAGCGUUGUCCGGAAUUAUUGGGCGUAAAGAGCUCGUAGGUCGUUUGUCGCGUCGAUUGUGAAAAUCUGAGGCUCAACCUCAGACCUGCAGUCGAUACGGGCAAACUAGAGUGUGGUAGGGGAGACUGGAAUUCCUGGUGUAGCGGUGGAAUGCGCAGAUAUCAGGAGGAACACCAAUGGCGAAGGCAGGUCUCUGGGCCAUAACUGACACUGAGGAGCGAAAGUGCGGGGAGCGAACAGGAUUAGAUACCCUGGUAGUCCGCACCGUAAACGGUGGGCACUAGUUGUGGGAACCUUCCACGGUUUCCGCGACGCAGCAAACGCAUUAAGUGCCCCGCCUGGGGAGUACGAUCGCAAGAUUAAAACUCAAAGGAAUUGACGG
rnacentral:rRNA from 1 species